rnacentral:rRNA from 1 species
UUAAGCGACUAAGCGUACACGGUGGAUGCCCUGGCAGUCAGAGGCGAUGAAGGACGUGCUAAUCUGCGAUAAGCGUCGGUAAGGUGAUAUGAACCGUUAUAACCGGCGAUUUCCGAAUGGGGAAACCCAGUGUGUUUCGACACACUAUCAUUAACUGAAUCCAUAGGUUAAUGAGGCGAACCGGGGGAACUGAAACAUCUAAGUACCCCGAGGAAAAGAAAUCAACCGAGAUUCCCCCAGUAGCGGCGAGCGAACGGGGAGCAGCCCAGAGCCUGAAUCAGUGUGUGUGUUAGUGGAAGCGUCUGGAAAGGCGCGCGAUACAGGGUGACAGCCCCGUACACAAAAAUGCACAUGCUGUGAGCUCGAUGAGUAGGGCGGGACACGUGGUAUCCUGUCUGAAUAUGGGGGGACCAUCCUCCAAGGCUAAAUACUCCUGACUGACCGAUAGUGAACCAGUACCGUGAGGGAAAGGCGAAAAGAACCCCGGCGAGGGGAGUGAAAAAGAACCUGAAACCGUGUACGUACAAGCAGUGGGAGCACGCUUAGGCGUGUGACUGCGUACCUUUUGUAUAAUGGGUCAGCGACUUAUAUUCUGUAGCAAGGUUAACCGAAUAGGGGAGCCGAAGGGAAACCGAGUCUUAACUGGGCGUUAAGUUGCAGGGUAUAGACCCGAAACCCGGUGAUCUAGCCAUGGGCAGGUUGAAGGUUGGGUAACACUAACUGGAGGACCGAACCGACUAAUGUUGAAAAAUUAGCGGAUGACUUGUGGCUGGGGGUGAAAGGCCAAUCAAACCGGGAGAUAGCUGGUUCUCCCCGAAAGCUAUUUAGGUAGCGCCUCGUGAAUUCAUCUCCGGGGGUAGAGCACUGUUUCGGCAAGGGGGUCAUCCCGACUUACCAACCCGAUGCAAACUGCGAAUACCGGAGAAUGUUAUCACGGGAGACACACGGCGGGUGCUAACGUCCGUCGUGAAGAGGGAAACAACCCAGACCGCCAGCUAAGGUCCCAAAGUCAUGGUUAAGUGGGAAACGAUGUGGGAAGGCCCAGACAGCCAGGAUGUUGGCUUAGAAGCAGCCAUCAUUUAAAGAAAGCGUAAUAGCUCACUGGUCGAGUCGGCCUGCGCGGAAGAUGUAACGGGGCUAAACCAUGCACCGAAGCUGCGGCAGCGACGCUUAUGCGUUGUUGGGUAGGGGAGCGUUCUGUAAGCCUGUGAAGGUGUACUGUGAGGUAUGCUGGAGGUAUCAGAAGUGCGAAUGCUGACAUAAGUAACGAUAAAGCGGGUGAAAAGCCCGCUCGCCGGAAGACCAAGGGUUCCUGUCCAACGUUAAUCGGGGCAGGGUGAGUCGACCCCUAAGGCGAGGCCGAAAGGCGUAGUCGAUGGGAAACAGGUUAAUAUUCCUGUACUUGGUGUUACUGCGAAGGGGGGACGGAGAAGGCUAUGUUGGCCGGGCGACGGUUGUCCCGGUUUAAGCGUGUAGGCUGGUUUUCCAGGCAAAUCCGGAAAAUCAAGGCUGAGGCGUGAUGACGAGGCACUACGGUGCUGAAGCAACAAAUGCCCUGCUUCCAGGAAAAGCCUCUAAGCAUCAGGUAACAUCAAAUCGUACCCCAAACCGACACAGGUGGUCAGGUAGAGAAUACCAAGGCGCUUGAGAGAACUCGGGUGAAGGAACUAGGCAAAAUGGUGCCGUAACUUCGGGAGAAGGCACGCUGAUAUGUAGGUGAAGUCCCUUGCGGAUGGAGCUGAAAUCAGUCGAAGAUACCAGCUGGCUGCAACUGUUUAUUAAAAACACAGCACUGUGCAAACACGAAAGUGGACGUAUACGGUGUGACGCCUGCCCGGUGCCGGAAGGUUAAUUGAUGGGGUCAGCGCAAGCGAAGCUCUUGAUCGAAGCCCCGGUAAACGGCGGCCGUAACUAUAACGGUCCUAAGGUAGCGAAAUUCCUUGUCGGGUAAGUUCCGACCUGCACGAAUGGCGUAAUGAUGGCCAGGCUGUCUCCACCCGAGACUCAGUGAAAUUGAACUCGCUGUGAAGAUGCAGUGUACCCGCGGCAAGACGGAAAGACCCCGUGAACCUUUACUAUAGCUUGACACUGAACAUUGAGCCUUGAUGUGUAGGAUAGGUGGGAGGCUUUGAAGUGUGGACGCCAGUCUGCAUGGAGCCGACCUUGAAAUACCACCCUUUAAUGUUUGAUGUUCUAACGUUGACCCGUAAUCCGGGUUGCGGACAGUGUCUGGUGGGUAGUUUGACUGGGGCGGUCUCCUCCUAAAGAGUAACGGAGGAGCACGAAGGUUGGCUAAUCCUGGUCGGACAUCAGGAGGUUAGUGCAAUGG